UCCGACCUCUGCCGCCGAUGUGCACCACCAAUCGCUGCCCCGGAGCAGCCGGCGUUCAUCCACGGCUGAGGACGAAUCUGCUUCGCUGUGCUAAAUCGCCUCAUCAGGGACACGGGAAUCGGCACCACCGUCGCUCCCCAGUGUCUCUCAGAAGGUCUUCUCUUUCCGUACUCUGAUAUUAUUCUUGCUUAUUGCUUGAUCUAUCUUAACCUCUACUGGCGGUUCUUUUGGAGAUCCUAUUUUGGUUUGACCUCCCCAUCGAUUUUUGAAGCUGGCAAUUGGAACUUCGGAAGGUCAACCUUGCACUUUGGUUCGAUGGCCGUCGUUCAAGUGGAAGAUUCAAGGAUUGCUUUCUCUUUUGUGAUACAACUGUCUCCAUUAUCGAUUGUCCAUUUUUAUGAUCAACCUGUACUAACUCCACCGGAUGUUCAUGACACUGCAGAAAAUGUACAGAAGCAGGACUACUUGAUGCACGUUGUUUUCUGUCCAUAGGGCAAAAACUGUUUCUCUCGGUAGAAGUGCAUCAAAUAGCAUCUUCAGAAUCAGACACUACGGUUGAUUUGGUAUUGUUAACUUGGGCAUCGGAUGGACAGUUCACAAGUGAGCUGAUCAAUAUUCUGGUUGGGAAUACUUGUAUAGCUGAAUUCUCAAUGCAUACUGCUGCAUCUUCACAGGUGUCGCUUUCCUUGUACUUGCAUUUUUUAGGAGGAUUGGUAGAAGUAUUGAGAAGAGAUGUAUCUGAGGCUUACUGUCUGCCCUUGCUGCAUUUUUAGAUCUAUUUGCAUAUACUUCGGCACAAAGGCAUAAAUUUAGAUUAUGGUUUUUUGUCCUGGGCAUGUUUAAAUUCAGAUCACGGUGCAUUCUCUUGUACUUUCAUGUGCGUUUCAGAUUUUUAGAGAUGCUUUAGCUGCAGUUUUUUGUGAUAGGCAUGGUCAUUCUCAACACCAAUUGCACAUAGGUCUAUUUGAAGGUUUAUUUACCAAUAGAAAAUAAAGAUUGUGCCAUCCUCUAAAGUAGAAGACACACAGUUCCUCUUGCUAUCUUUUCUUCUGCUAGCUUAACCAUACCACCGACCAGGAUUUCUUUUGCACUGACAACCUUUUCGUUGUGACCGGUGGUUCCUUCAUAGGGCAAAGGCGUAAAUUUAGAUUAUGGUUUUCUGCCCUUGCUGCAUUUUUAGAUCUAUUUGCAUAUAGUUCGGCACAAAGGCGUAAAUUUAGAUUAUGGUUUUUUGUCCUAGGCAUGUUUAAAUUCAGAUCACGGUGCAUUCUCUUGUACUUUCAUGUGCGUUUCAGAUUUUUAGAGAUGCUUGAGGUGCAGUUUUUUGUGAUAGGCAUGGUCAUUCUCAACACCAAUUGCAUAUAGGUCUAUUUGAAGGUUUAUUGACCAAUAGAAAAUAAAGAUUGUGCCAUCCUCUAAGAAUGCUUUAUGAUAUAGCAGUUUUACUCGAGUAUGAAGGGCUGCGUUUUUGUGGUUUCAGUAAAUUGUGAAUGCUUUUCCAAGCUAGAAGAUAUGAGGAUAUAGGUAUAUAUGCCAUAAUAAGGCAGCUAUAUAGUAAUUCACGUGUAGUAGUGGGGAUUGUGCUCAUGCUAUGUCAAGGACUGCAGAAAGCUAUAAAAAUAAAUUGGAUACUCUGCAUAUUUUCUAAAUUUUCGAUAAAUGCUUCAAUUCUGAUGCAUGGAAUAGUUCUGACUUGGGCCAGUGCUUAAUCUUCUUGUGCACUUGAUCCUUGAUUAAUCAUGUUAAAUUUUAUGUCUGUAACAUGUUUGUCCUAGAUUAAUUGGUGAUUGUGUACAGUUUCUAAAGUAGAAGACACACAGUUCCUCUUGCUAUCUUUUCUUCUGCUAGCUUGACCAUACCACCGACCAGGAUUUCUUUUGCGCUGACAACCUUUUCGUUGUGACCGGUGGUUCCUUCAUGCCAACGGUCAGCAUUCAUGUGGCCAACGAAAAGGAAUGUCUCCUUCCGAUGUUGUCUGCUCUGUCCAAGGCGCGGUAGCCCCUCAGACCUUGGGCAAGCAAGGCAUGAGGUGAUAUUUUUGGACUCACCCAUUUAGAGGAGGCAUGCAAUGAUACUUGGUCCUAUAAAUGGUGAACUCCAGGUUUUAGCGCCUCUAUGGUGAUAUUUUUGGACUUCCUAUUCAGUGAGGCCUGCAAUGCCAAUAUCUUACCGUGCUCCAAGAAAUCCUAGCACUCACUGAUGACAAUGAUACCUUGUUCAAUAAAUGGCGAACUCCAUGUUUUAGCACCUCUAAGGUGAUAUUUUUGGAGUUCCUAUUCAGAUGAGGCCUCCAAUGCCAGCAUCUUAUUCUGCUCCGAAAAUAUCCUAGCUUUCACUAAUGAGAAUGAUAUUUGGUACUGUAAAUGGAGAGCUCCAGAUUUUAGUAAGUAAUCAGAUGUCGGAAAUUCCAUAAUACCUUAUGAAGGUUAGUUGCAGUUUAUAUCACCAUUCAGCGAAGUACUCUAUCUCAACUCUGGAGCACAAAUGGAGAAAGUAACUAUGCUUCUACAGUAUAUUGAGCUCAAGGUCAUGUAUUUGACUAUGUGUGGUUAUCAUGGGGUAAAGUAACAAUGAAGUCUCAAAAUCCUAUUGUUGUAAGUUUUACUGUUCUUUUAGUUGAGUUUAUGAGUCAUAGUUCAACAAAUGCUAAUUCCAUAGUUCAAUACAGACCUUCUGUUCUGAACUCUAAUUGGGAUAAUUGCGCUUUAAUACUGAGUCUAUGACUAUGACAUGGUUAAUCAAUUAGAGACACCAUGUUUUUUAAGAAGAUAGAUUAGAAAUACCCAUAUAUUAAUAUGAAACAAAUUUUG